rnacentral:rRNA from 1 species
CGAACGGGUGAGUAACGCGUGAGGAACCUGCCUCAAAGAGGGGGACAACAGUUGGAAACGACUGCUAAUACCGCAUAAGCCCACGGCUCGGCAUCGAGCAGAGGGAAAAGGAGUGAUCCACUUUGAGAUGGCCUCGCGUCCGAUUAGCUAGUUGGUGAGGUAACGGCCCACCAAGGCGACGAUCGGUAGCCGGACUGAGAGGUUGAACGGCCACAUUGGGACUGAGACACGGCCCAG